rnacentral:rRNA from 1 species
GAUGAACGCUGGCGGCGUGCCUAAUACAUGCAAGUCGAGCGAACAGACGAGGAGCUUGCUCCUCUGACGUUAGCGGCGGACGGGUGAGUAACACGUGGAUAACCUACCUAUAAGACUGGGAUAACUUCGGGAAACCGGAGCUAAUACCGGAUAAUAUAUUGAACCGCAUGGUUCAAUAGUGAAAGACGGUUUUGCUGUCACUUAUAGAUGGAUCCGCGCCGCAUUAGCUAGUUGGUAAGGUAACGGCUUACCAAGGCAACGAUGCGUAGCCGACCUGAGAGGGUGAUCGGCCACACUGGAACUGAGACACGGUCCAGACUCCUACGGGAGGCAGCAGUAGGGAAUCUUCCGCAGUGGGCGAAAGCCUGACGGAGCAACGCCGCGUGAGUGAUGAAGAUCUUCGGAGCGUAAAACUCUGUUAUUAGGGAAGAACAAAUGUGUAAGUAACUAUGCACGUCUUGACGGUACCUAAUCAGAAAGCCACGGCUAACUACGUG